GGGUGGCCUAGUGGUUAAAACGUCCGCCUCGGAUGCGGGAGGUCGCGGAUUCGAACCCAGUCCGAUUCG